CCGCCAUAAAUCCUUAACACAAAAAAUGGUCGUCGAAUACGACCAUUUCUUUUUAAGGUCCGCCCAUGGCAAUCACUUGGGUCUUGCGCAAUGGAAACUCAUGAACCCCGUCAGGUCCGGAAGGAAGCAGCGGUAAGUGACCAUUUCUAUGUGCCGCAAGGGUGCCUGAGGGGUUGUCAUGGUCGGACCUUAAACGUUGUCGG
rnacentral:SRP_RNA from 1 species